UACGUAGGGUGCAAGCGUUGUCCGGAAUUAUUGGGCGUAAAGAGCUCGUAGGCGGUCUGUCACGUCGGCUGUGAAAACCCGAGGCUCAACCUCGGCCUGCAGUCGAUACGGGCAAACUAGAGUACUGCAGGGGGAGACUGGAAUUCUGUGUAGCGGUGAAAUGCGCAGAUAUCAGGAGGGAACACCGGUGGCGAAGGCGGGGGUCUCUGGGGGGCAGUAACUGACGC
rnacentral:rRNA from 1 species